CACCUGGUAAUCCUUAUUUGUUUAGAAACAAUGGUAGUAUCGGAGCUUAAAGUGAGGGAUUCAAAGAAGAAGUAAAAAUGUACGGGAAGUGCCAGGCUUGAGUUCUUAACCUGAGAUCCCUGAAAUCAUAGGGGUUCUUGUAAACCCGUGAAAUUGUGUGCCAAGUUUGGAGUAUAUGUGGGUCUCUAUGUUUAGGGGUUGGGGUGUUAGUCACUCAGUCAUGUCUGACUCUUUGCAAACCCAUGGACUGUAGCCCACCAGGCUUCUCUGUCCGUGGGAUGUUCUGGGCAAGAAUACUGGAGUGGGAGGCCAUUCCCUUUUCCAGGGGGUCUUCCACAUCCAGGGAUUGAACCUGUAUCUCUUAUGUCUCCUGCAUUGUCAGGCAGAUUCUUUUCCACUAAUGCCACUGGUGAUGGAGAGAGAGGGGUAAAGAUUCAUCCCUUAGAGAGGAUUCUCAAAAGAAGCCACAGAGGGAAAAGGCACUUUCAUGAAAUUCAUACAUACACGAAGAUGCACAGUGUUAGAGAAAAUGUGGGAGGGUCCUGAGUACUUCCCCAAAAUGUCACUUCUGCUUCUUUCACAUGCUCUGAUUCUUUCAGUCACCAGUUCCUUGUUCUCAGGGGACUGCUGUGGCUCCCAUCUGCUGUCCUGCCCUAGAGAAAGUCAUCUUUCCUUGGAGCACCUUAGCACAGCUGAGUGGGUUCCAUCUCAAACUACAAAUGAUGAAGUAGAGCAGGCAAGAUGAGCCAACAGCGAAGACUGUUGAUAAGAUACUUCCUAACACACAAGGGUCACAGGAGGCGUCUUCUAAUUCUUCCCAUGCUCCUGCUCCAGAUGUCAGUUCCACUUUCCAGAGAUCUUAAUAUUUGACUUCCUCCUGACCUUCCACCUCCUCUUGGCUGGGACAGUCUUAGCUCUGGCUACCGGCAACCUUGUCAUGAGCCAAAAGUCUCUGGCAGACCACUUAGAGAUUCCCGUCUCGUUUCUGAAAUAAGGGACGUCUUCACGCCUUCAGCAACCCGUGAUUUCCGUCUGUUUUCAUAGGGAGGAUGGCAAAUAGGUUUGAAUUCACAUGCUAAACCCCACCAAUUGGUAAAAGCAUCCUCACAAAACUUCUUAAACUGAAACACGUGUGGGUAUUCUGUGAGCAUCUUGCUAAAAUGCUGAUGCUGAUUCCCUCUGAGACCCCCUGUGAGUAGCAGGCUGUGGGAGAGUUCUGUUGCGAAUGAUUCAUCGGCUGGGAUCCUUUGGCCACGUCUGUCCAAGGGUCAAGGACAGGGUGGCAGAGCCCUGAGGUGCCCUGAAUUUGCCAGAUGAGAUAACAGCUCUUGCACAGCCCUGCUCCUGCCUGGAUGCUUUGUGGCUGCCACAGACGUCCUGCUCAGUGAGCUCCAGUUUUCCUUUUCCUUGUUUACUUGUUAUUCCUUCCCUUAGCACAGAGAGGAGGAUCUUUAUUGUCCCUACAACCCAGGAGCAGCUCACAUUACAGCCCUGCCAUCAGUGUGCUUCAGAUCUGGCCUUGGCAGCCCUGUAAGAACUGGCUCUCUUUUGCCGAUUGGAUGGGUCUGGAGAGUUUCUGCUGCCCCAGCCAGCACCGUGUGACCAGAACCCCAGGUGUUCCCGAGUUUCAGUCAGACCCUUGCAGCUGUCUUGUUUCUUGCCGAGGUUGAGGCAUCCACUCCGAUUCUCUGCUGAGUCUGGAGCCCAGCCCUUCUGAGGGUUGGCUCUGCUUCAGAUACAGCUAAUCCAACCCAGAUGGAGUGUGAAGGUGAGAUCCUGACAGCAUCUAGGGAUGGAACUUGGACUCUGAGCUGCAGCAUUUCGCCCUGGCUCCCUGGAUGUUGCCCUUAGGGGCUGGUGCCAAUCCAGCCUGGGCCAGCAUUAGCUCUGCUACUGCGACUUGAUUUCUACCACAUUUUCUUGUUGGCUGUCUCUACUUUUAAAGAAAACUGCUGAUAAUUUUAGUGUAAUUUAAGUAAUCUCCUGAACAAACUAUGUGACGAUAACAUCUGGAAGAAGAUCACCAGGAGUGGACAAGUCUGCACACGACGGGGAUGACGACAACCCCGAGCCCCAUCUCAGUGAUUAACUGAGGUUCUUUCCUUGUUUCCCUUUAAAAAUUUCAAGGCCAGGCAGAAUCUUUGCAGGCAGUUUCUUAGGGAUGCUGAGUCCACCAUCUCCCCAGAUUGCUGGCAUUCUGAUUAAAGAUACCUUUCCUUUCUACCAUUUGUAUUGAUUUUGUAAGUGACUAGCACUGGGACCCCCUAUUCAAUAAUAAUAAUUUUAACUUAUAACAUCUAUAAUUAUGUAUAAGUUAUCUAUAAUGUUUCUUUUGAAUUCCUAAUUUUGCUAAUUCAUGACCUCUCUGUUUUUCUUUGAUUAGUCUUGCUAGAGAUUUAUAAAUAGUACUCAUCUUUUUAAGAAACUUGAUUUUGGUUUUGUUAUUCAUCUCUGUCUCUUUCUCUUUAUUUGUAUAUAUACACACAUUAUGUACAUAUAAAGUUUGAAUAAAUAUAUAAAGUAUGAA